UCAUCCUGAGUAGAUUAAAGAGGAAAAGGCACUGGAUUAAGUAUAAUUAACUUCUCACUGGCUAAUGAAUGCCUUUGAGAGAGUUAUGGUUUGCGGUUGGCAUGCCCUAGUAAUUAUCUCUAAGCGUCCUAACAAGGAGGUGGAGAAAAUCGGGCAAGGAACCCAGCCUUUGCUGAAUACUUCCUCUAUUAUACAGUGUGCUAGCUGCUCCCUGUCUGCAAAACUGAGGCUCAAAGGAGCCAUUUCCCCAAAGUGACAAAGUAGGUAAGUGGUGGAGCUCGGAUAGGAAACCAGAGCCCCUGACUCUGCUGCUUGGCUCUGUGAAUCCUGUUUGAAAAUGGACAUUCAGAGAAUGUCACCAUCAUCAUCACCAUCACCAGCAUCGUCCCCUAAGGGUGUUGUGUUUUCAAAUGCAUCACUUCAUAUAUUUAUUUAUUCUUGAUUCCACUGGCACAAAUAAAAUAAGUUACUACUCCCCAUGUGGACUGAAAAGCAGAUUAGCCCAGCUCCUGUCGUUGUUCCUUUCCCCUCUUGUCUCCUGGAGGUCAUUUGCCUUCUCCCCAAAAAACUCUCCCAACUAUGUUAAAAUUGCUGACACUCAAACUGUGCAGUCUGGCCAGGCACCCUGAAGACAGAGCUCAUAGGAGUGGAAGCUGAAACCAGUGGCUAGAGGUAAGAUUUGGAAUCCUCUCUGAAUUUCAGAUAUUAUUCUAUUUUAUUACGUAUUCCACAUUCCAGUGGAAGAAAACAAGAUCUGGGAACAAACAGUCUGCAGUGUCUCCCCGCCCCCUCCCGGAGCCAUGCCUGGCCGUGCAGCAUGAAGGGGAGAGGCUGGGCUCAAUAAAUACUCACAUGAUGACAUCCUGGUCCUCUCCGCAGUCAGAGCACCAGAUUUUGGAACUGAGGUCCAAAGAAGACGUGACUCUCUUAAGUUACACAACUAAAAAAAAGAAGAAAUAUCUCCCACGUGUAAGGCACUGAGUUGGCUGCUGUAUGGAAGAUAAAGUUGUUAAAUUCCUAGGCCCGCCUCAGGAGCUCCCCAUCCAACAAGGGAAACGAGGUGGCUAUCUGAGCAGCUCCAGUACAGGACGGUACGUGCUAACCAUUAAAAAUCAGACCAAUCGGGCUUCCCUGGUGGCGCAGUGGUUGAGAGUCCGCCUGCCGAUGCGGGGGACGCGGGUUCGUGCCCCGGUCCGGGAGGAUCCCACGUGCCGCGGAGCGGCUGGGCCCGUGAGCCAUGGCCGCUGCGCCUGCGCGUCCGGAGCCUGUGCUCCGCAGCGGGAGAGGCCACAGCAGUGAGAGGCCCCCGUACCGCAAAAAAAAAAAAAAAAAAAAAAAUCAGACCAAAUAUAGAAAGUUGGGGGUAGGGGUGUGGCACAUGAUAAUGGUGUCCUGGGAACUUGAAAGCUGAAGCAGGUCUAGGAAAUACACAGUCGGAUUCUGGCAGGAAGGGUGGUACAUGCCUGAGGUUGGGAAGGGGGCUGAUCUCUCCAGGCAGAAGGAACGGCCACAGGCGAGAGGAGGUGGGAAAGCUCUGGGGCCUCACGGAAAACAGCAAACCAUGCUUCAUUUGGAAGCCGGCGGAGUGCUGAGCUGAAAGUUAGGGCAACUGCAUGAUUUACUGUUGAAGCAGGACGCUUUAGAGAGUGAGGAGGGAUGCAAUUAAUAUUUACACCAAACCACGGGCAGAAAGUGGGGUGCACCCAGGCCAGAGAGGAGGAAGAGUUGCCCACUAAGAGGUGGGCAGGGCCCAGAGGGUGAAGGAUUUUCCAUCCCAGACUGAAGGGUUUGGACCUCAGGCUCCAAUUCACUGGGAAGCAGAUCAGAGCAGUCAUUUAGGGAAGAGUGGAAAUCAUUCUGUGAGACACUCACCACACUGCACAGGGUACCAGGGUGAGGAGGGAGUGUUCCCGGCUCUCCUGAGGCCUCUGGCUAAGCAGGAACACCCCAUCCUCCCAUGUGUCCUGUUGGACCUACGACCACGUAUGCCCGGCACACCGCAUGGGACUUGUAGAGGGAGAGAAAAAAUGGGUGGAAUAAGACUUGUUUCCUUCCCUGGGGGAGCUACCAAUUUUGCUGAGAGAGAAGACUUUCAGGUAUUAAACAGGGAGCAGAGUGUGAUUUGCAAACUCCAGUGUCAUCAUAUUCCGAAAGGCACAGCUGAGGCAGUUAGCGCUUCUGGUGGAUUGGAGGGGAGAGGUCAGGGUGGCCUGGAUCUCAGGGAACGGGAGCCAGGAGCAGGUAACCUGAGCCCAGCGGGGAGGAUUAGACUUUGGCUGGAUGGGGAGGAGGGGAGGGCAUUCCCGGCAGAUGUAUCGGGGCUGGAACAAGCAGGUCGUGUGUAAGGGACAGAGGAGAAAUGAGCUGUGUGGGGAGAGGGCCCCGAAGGACAGGCGCUGUGGGCUGGAAGCACAGAAUGCUGCGCAGGAGAGAACCGCCAGGGAAAUCCUGCUUUUCCUCUUCACUCAGAUAUAGAAACUGAGGCGGAUAGAAGAUAAGCUACAUGCCCAAUUAAGAGGCUGACACUUGAACCUGGGAGGUAUGACUCUGGAGCCAGCCCUUAUGCCUCCCAGGUGCCCUGGAUGAACUCAGCUGGUAUCUUCUUGGGAACCAGCUCUAUGUUACCAGGUAAAGCUGGUCAGCCCUAUGCCCACGUAGGUAAAUAGCAGCAUUUUUUUUAGAAUGCUCAGACACACCCCGUAUUAGUUUCCUAGAGCCAGCAUAACAAGCUACCACAAAGAGAAUAGCAUAAAACAAAAAGUUAUUCCUUCACAGUUCUGGAGGCCAGAAGUCCAAAAUCAAGGUCUCAGCAGGACCACGCUCCCUCUGAAGGCUCUCGGGAAGAACCUCUCCUUUCGCCCCUUCCCAGCCUCGGGCGGCUGCUGGCAAUCCCGGGCUUUUCUCACCUCACAGCUGCAUCGCUCCAAUCUCUGCCUGUCUUCACAUGGCUGCUUUCCCGCUCCAUCUGCGUCUUUUUUUUUUUUUUAAA